GAUGAACGCUGGCGGCGUGCCUAAUACAUGCAAGUCGAGCGAACGGACGAGAAGCUUGCUUCUCUGAUGUUAGCGGCGGACGGGUGAGUAACACGUGGAUAACCUACCUAUAAGACUGGGAUAACUUCGGGAAACCGUAGCUAAUACCGGAUAAUAUUUUGAACCGCAUGGUUCAAAAGUGAAAGACGGUCUUGCUGUCACUUAUAGAUGGAUCCGCGCUGCAUUAGCUAGUUGGUAAGGUAACGGCUUACCAAGGCAACGAUGCAUAGCCGACCUGAGAGGGUGAUAGGCCACACUGGAACUGAGACACGGUCCAGACUCCUACGGGAGGCAGCAGUAGGGAAUCUUCCGCAAUGGGCGAAAGCCUGACGGAGCAACGCCGCGUGAGUGAUGAAGGUCUUCGGAUCGUAAAACUCUGUUAUUAGGGAAGAACAUAUGUGUAAGUAACUGUGCACAUCUUGACGGUACCUAAUCAGAAAGCCACGGCUAACUACGUG
rnacentral:rRNA from 1 species